rnacentral:rRNA from 1 species
CCUACGGGAGGCAGCAGUGGGGAAUAUUGGACAAUGGGGGCAACCCUGAUCCAGCCAUGCCGCGUGUGUGAAGAAGGCCCUCGGGUUGUAAAGCACUUUCAGUGAGGAAGAACGCCUGGUGGUUAAUACCCAUCAGGAAAGACAUCACUCACAGAAGAAGCACCGGCUAACUCCGUGCCAGCAGCCGCGGUAAUACGGAGGGUGCGAGCGUUAAUCGGAAUUACUGGGCGUAAAGCGCGCGUAGGUGGCUUGAUAAGCCGGUUGUGAAAGCCCCGGGCUCAACCUGGGAACGGCAUCCGGAACUGUCAAGCUAGAGUGCAGGAGAGGAAGGUAGAAUUCCCGGUGUAGCGGUGUAAUGCGUAGAGAUCGGGAGGAAUACCAGUGGCGAAGGCGGCCUUCUGGACUGACACUGACACUGAGGUGCGAAAGCGUGGGUAGCAAACAGGAUUAGAUACCCCGGUAGUC